GAUGAACGCUAGCGGCAGGCUUAAUACAUGCAAGUCGUGGGGCAGCAUGAGUAGCAAUACUUGAUGGCGACCGGCGAACGGGUGCGGAACACGUAAACAACCUUCAUUUCAGCGGGGAAUAGCCCAGAGAAAUUUGGAUUAAUACCCCAUAGUAUAUUAGAGUGGCAUCAUUUCGAUAUUAAAGAUUUAUCACAGAAAGAUGGGUGUGCGGCUGAUUGAAUAGGUGGUAGGGUAACGGCCUACCAAGUCAGUGAUCUUGAGGGGGCCUGAGAGGGUGAUCCCCCACACUGGUACUGAGACACGGACCAGACUCCUACGGGAGGCAGCAGUGAGGAAUAUUGGACAAUGGGUGAGAGCCUGAUCCAGCCAUCCCGCGUGAAGGACGACGGCCCUAUGGGUUGUAAACUUCUUUUGUAUAGGGAUAAACCUUUCCACGUGUGGAAAGCUGAAGGUACUAUACGAAUAAGCACCGGCUAACUCCGUGCCAGCAGCCGCCGUAA
rnacentral:rRNA from 1 species